UACGGAGGGUGCAAGCGUUAUCCGGAUUCACUGGGUUUAAAGGGUGCGUAGGCGGAUUGGUAAGUCAGUGGUGAAAUCUCCGGGCUUAACCCGGAAACUGCCAUUGAUACUAUCAGUCUUGAAUACCGUGGAGGUCAGUAGAAUAUGUCAUGUAGCGGUGAAAUGCUUAGAUAUGACAUAGAAUACCAAUUGCGAAGGCAGCUGGCUACACGAAUAUUGACACUCAGGCACGAAAGCGUGGGGAUCAAACAGG
rnacentral:rRNA from 1 species